GCCGUUGCGGUAGCUUGGUCGAACUGCAAACGCUUAUUUAUUGUUAUUGACACUAAAACAAAACCAUUGGCAUAGAAAGAUCGCUUAUCGCAGUUUGAUCUCUAGCAAAUCCUAAUUCGCUCAAUUUUGCACCAAGUGCUCCAUACAAUAUACCAUUAGAAAGGUCUAGAAGCUCACGAAGAAGAAGAAAAAGAAGUUGCAUUUGAAAUGUGGGUGUACCGACGCAUUCUUCGUAUAUACUAGACCGAACAUGUAGCCAACGUGGAGCUAAUCCAUAUAAUUGGAAAAGGGAAAGAAAUCGUGAACACAAUUUAUUAUCAGAGGCAAAAUAGACAGUACGCAAGGGUUGGUCAGAAGAAGACAUUCGUGGGUCCAAAAUCUGUGGAAGUGGUUUGGAUGCACAUGGAGGCGCAUUGCGCAAUGCGAAUGUUUACGUUUGGUCGAACUAUUCAGAAGUGCCGUAUGUAAGCAACAUCAGAAUUUCCAAAUUAAUAGCCAACGUUCACAA
rnacentral:lncRNA from 1 species